rnacentral:lncRNA from 1 species
AUGCCUAGCUGGACUACAGCCAGGUUGGGGACUUGGUGGCCCCCCACCCAGCAGCCACAGCCCCCACUCACCCAGCGCCACGCUGCCGAAGCUGGGAUCCGGCUGGAGCACAGGCGGCGACUCCGUGGCACUGGCCUCGGUGCUGGGUUGGGGUGUGGGAGAGGCAGGUGGCCCCGGGUUGGGUGCGGCCACCUCAGGCUCUGCCGCCUUCGGGCUCUCAGGCACUUUCUUCUCACGCUUGGUAGCGCCGUCUGGGGGGUCUCCAGUGACCACGGCAGCCACAGCCUCGGGGUCCAGCCAGUCGCUGCCGCCAGCUGCCACCACGGCCUUGAAGGCCUCCAACAGCGCUGGGUUGCUGUCAGCUGCUGGCUUGGCCACCUUAGCCGCCCCCACCGCCGCCACCGUACCGGGCUCCUUGCGCUUCCUCGCGGCCGCGUCGCCGCCGGUCCCGGCUCCAGCCCCGGCCCUCCCACCAGCGCCGGCCCCGCGCGGACCCGAGGGCCUGAGGCUCGGCCGCGGCGGCGGGAAGCCGCAGCGCAGCAGGGGCACGGGGCCAGGCGGCCAGCGCGGGCCCCGCGGCAGCAGCGGCUGCAGGUCCCCGAAGCCUGCGGGGGUCACGGAGAGGCGCCGUGCGCCACCUCCUCCGGGGCCCGCGUUACCUGGGCCGGGCCGGAAGGCCCAGCGCUGCGGCCACCCGUCCUGAACCCGCUUGGCGGCGCACAUGGUGCCCCCGCCGCGCCGGGGCCGGGGGCGACUCCACAGCGCCGGGGGGGAGGGGCGGCGGCGGUUAUAUCCCAGCAACUGCCGCGGCGUCCUUCGCGAAUAGCCACAGCGCAUGCGCCGAACGCCUUUCCGGAAGCUUCCCCUCAAGUGUUUCCGGAGGUCACACCAGGCUGGGCUGAGCUCUCCGAGCAUGCGCAGUGGCAAACCCGGCUCACGGUUUUUCACACUGCCCCUGACGUCACCCGCCACAAAUCUAUCCGAGUGCUUUUGAGGAGGUGCCUCAAGGAAGGACGACUCACGGGAGCCUGCUAG